rnacentral:piRNA from 1 species
UGUGAAACAGAUUUGAGCUUGGCCUCUGUGUUAGUUGGCCAGCCAAUUGGCUGUUUUGCAAUCUUCCGUUCUCUGGCACUCCAAUGUCCUUUUUGUAAUAUUGGAAAGAAUAUUUUAACCACUGUGUGCUGUUACAGCUUGGUGCCCCAGACUUGAUACAACAGCCAUAAUUCUGUAGAAGUUGGCAGCACAUACAAGGUUUCUAUGUGAUUGGUUUUAUCACUAAACAUGUAGGGGAGAAAAGUUCUUUUUUUUUUUUUAAUUUAUUACUAGCCGAAUGACCCAGGCAACGCCCGGGUUUUACUCGAUUGUGUUUAUAUUUUAGAAAUGUUUUUAUUUAAAUACAAUUCGUUACAAUUAUAAUUGGCGCUGUGGAUGUCACUCUUGUGAAACGUCCCGCUCCAAACUGUGUGUUUCAAAAAAAUAAAAAUGUAAAUUUUCACAACAAUAUUUGAAAAUUAUAUUAUUUCAAUUUUUAUGAGAUUCUCUGGCCUGCCAUAUGUUGAAAUGCCUCCGCAGUAAUGCCUUGAUCUGGGUUCAUUUGGUGGAAUAUGGCCAUGGUUGACCUUGUGGCUUCGUGAAUGUUAUCUGCCAUUUUGGUCAAAUUUAGUUCCAGCACCACCGACAGGACUCAUUGUAUGGACUGUGUAAGGCGUUGAGUCCACAGGACUUUUAGGACUUCUUCCGAAAACUGCCACCAAUUUGAUGUCGCAUUUCAGCCAGGAUUUCUGAUCAACAAUGGGCUUUCUUUCUGAGAUUCUGGCUAUUCGUACCUGGUGUGACCGGCCAAAUUGCUGGAGAAGCCGUUCUUUUAGUAUGUUUGUUAUGUAUUUUCCUGAAACAGGUGGGUUCUCUACAAUGUCAUAGGCGCAGAAGAGAGUUUGUCUAUUUAAAUUAACUACUGUUGCGGAAUACUUUAAUUUGACGCUGGCGAUGUUUGUAAAAAUAAAAGCAGCUUCCAGCUGGCUAAGCCACAAUGCAAUGUCGUUUGGCAAGAAGGGUGGAGCUUGAAAAAUCAAUUUUGAUAUUUGAGAUGGGGUAAGUACCAUCGUGAGUGAUUGAGCUUUCAUGAUUUGCAAAGAUUUGCCCUUAACAUUGGCCGUUAAUUCUUUAUUCGAGAUCAUUUGGUUCAAAAUCUCUAUCACGUCCGGCUCACCAAUUUUGUGGGAUGGUUGCGUGCGUAUUGGUGUGGCUUGUGGAAAGGCCGCUGAUAAAAUUAUAAUUAUUUUUAUAAAAUAAAUUAAUUUAUUUGAAGCCUCGAAAUAUAUAGAGAGGAAAGAAGUAACGGCCGCUAGAAGCAAGCCUUGUUCGAACGACGCGUGUGCCAAGAGUCCUGGAUGCUACCCGCGCAUGCUUAGUGAGGUGUUCUCCCAGCUCGCGCUUGCCGAGGCAUAGUGAGGCCGCCACACUACUGCCCGUAUGUGUAGUGAAGCUUUGUCCCAGUUUGCGCUCGCUGAAGAAAAGUGUGGUCGCCACAUACAGUAAAAACCCCUCUAUAGUGAACCCCAAUGGACAGAGCUUUUGGUUCACUAUAGCCUCGGUUUGGCAAUUUUUUUUUUUUAACUUUUCAAAAAUUUUAGACCUUAUAAUUAAAGGACAGCCAUAUACACAGGAAGCCUCUUAAUAGUGGUCACUUUGUUUUAAUUCCCAUAAUUCACCAAUUUCCUUACAUUAAUACUGAAUAAUAAAAGGUGAUAAGGCACAAUUUGGAUUAUAGAUUAUUACCUUUUGUGAAUAAUAAAAGAAAUCAAUUAAUGAUAGGUUCUUAUCAUUAACAUACAUGUACCUCAAUGUUUAAUUUAAAAACCAAGACAAAUCCUAGGCAAAGUUUUAUUAAAUAUAUAUUCAAAGAUAUAAAAUGAUUUAAAAGCAUCUUUAUCACAUUGUAUAAUACAAUGUUUACUUGGAAAAAUGGCUCUUAACACCUUGUUGCUUCAAAGUACUCUUCAAGCAUUGCACCUUUCAAAUAAAGUUAAUAAGUGUUUUUCUUAUAUUUCAUGUUUCCACAUAUUCUUCUUUCACAUAAUCUUCGUUUUUUUUUAAACCUGUCAUGCAAAACAUUGCUGGCUUUAAAAUCGCCAUAGUUUUGGCAUAAAAAUAGUUUUUGUUUCAUCAUGGGCCUGUGAUUGUAACAAUUUUUAAUAGCCUUCUAUUUUAUCUCUUAUAAUAUAAAAGUUAUAUUUUCUUAUUUUAACAUGUUCUGAAAUUUUGCCUGUGUUGUUUCACUUUGAAAAGUUUUGAAAAUGGCCUUUUUUUAAGUAAUAACAUUUUUUGUUUUUUGAAUGCCUUUGUUUUCUUUAUUUUGAAAGCCAUUUGCAUUUUUUUUUCUAUUUCAAAUUUAAUGGCUGCAAAGAUAUUCUAUUUAAUAAAAAGUAUAAUGUGUAAAAAUUUAUACAACAUACAGCAAAAAUAGAAUGUAAAUCAAAACAAACAAUCCAGCUAAAUUUAUUUUUUUGAAAUUGCGAUCCGCAAGCUGAAACAAGCUCAAAACUUAAAAAAAAAAAAAUUUAAAUUACAAUUUUAAGUUUGUUAUAAGCAUAGUAUUUUAAAUAGAUUUUAUUAUUUUGGGACCGAAAAUAGGUUCGUUAUUUUAAAAAUCACAAAGUUUGUUAUAACAAUGGUAUUUUCAAUGGAAUGGAAUUGGGAAUCGCCUUAGGUUCGUUAUAAGGGAAGAUUCGCUAUAUCCGGGGUUCGUAUUAGCGGGGUUUUACUGUAUAUAUAUAUAAAUAUAUAUGCUCAUACUUGAGGCAUGUUACUUGUAUUGAUUAGCUUCGUCCUUAAGUUGCUCACCUUGUGAAGGGAAGAUCUGAAUCCAAUGUACAAUUUGUUCAUCCGCAUCUUUAUCUGGUCACAUCUUGAAAAAAAGAAAAGAGCUCAUCAACUUAAGAAUGAGAAAUAGAACUAUCAGAAAGAAAGGUUAAAAUGACGAUAUAAGGCAAACAAAUCCAAACAAGAUUAAUUUAUUGUUGUUUCAUUUAAUUAAAUGUGGCUUUGGUAUGGCACAGUAACAAGAUGUUUUAAUGUUUUUUUUUUCAAAUGAUUCUCCUCUUCCCACCCAAAUUUUACAAUGUGACCACAUGUAUAUAGAUAGCAGGUGAAAACACCACUUGUAACAUUCCUUAGGUUGCCAUCAAAUCUAUUAUUUCUAGUGUUGAGUGAGAGAGAGAGAGAGAGAGAAGAUAUUCCCAAUACAACUGAAUCCAUGAAGUCAUGUACGAGGGUGAGUAGAAAAGUAAGGUCGCCUAUAUAUUUUUUUUUUCAUAGAAAAACACAUUUAAUUACAACUUUUUAUACAUCAUUGGAAAGGUUGGACACUUUGCUGUUUUUCUACAUAGUCGCCUUGAUGCUCAAUCACUUUUUUCAUCCUGUCAACCAACUUUGUAAUUCCGGUGUUGUACCACUCUCCCGCCGCCUCUUUGAGCCACCUGGCGGACACUAAGGUCUUCUACGAGAUAAUUUCCGAACGCGCAUUGCUAGGUGAAAUCCGACAACACCGCUGCCUUCCUUGGUUCCCCCUCUACCGUCUAGAACCUUCCUGGUGAUCUUGGGACGCUCAGUCGCUGUCUGGCAGCCGUUCGCGAUGGAGCUUCCCCUUAGCUCUCCCGCCAAGUGCGAGUUGCGCUCAGUUAUACGCUUUUUAAAUGCGAAAAAUAAUUCUCCGGUCGAAAUUCACCGUCAGUUAGUGGAAGUGUAUGGUGAGAAGUGCAUGGACAUCAAAAAUGUGCGGAAAUGGUGCCGGGAGUUUAACGAGGGGCGGAUAAACGUCCACGAUGAACAGCAGUCUGGGCGCCCGAGUUUGCCGGAAUCAACCGUAAACCGGCGGAUAACCCUUAAAGAGAUCGAGGAUGGCCUGAAUGAAGAUUGCAGCCACUUCUCCGUGCACAAGAUUGUGUCUGAGACCCUCGGCUACAGAAAGGUGUCCGCCAGGUGGGUUGACAAGUGGCUCAAAGAGGCGGCGGGAGAGUGGUACAACACCGGAAUUACAAAGUUGGUUGACAGGAUGAAAAAAGUGAUUGAGCAUCAAGGCGACUAUGUAGAAAAAUAGCAAAGUGUCCAACCUUUCCAAUGAUGUAUAAAAAGUUGUGAUUAAAUGUGUUUUUCUAUGAAAAAAAAAUAUAUAGGCAACCUUACUUUUCUACUCGCCCUCGUAUGUUCUUCAAGUGGGAAUGCCAUUCUGCAUGAACAUUUAAAAGUCCAUAAAGGAUGCUUGGGUUCCACAUUCUUUAACAAAGGAGCACAUGAAGGCUAGGCUAAAUGGUUGAGGUUUAUGAUAGAGAAAUACAUCAAUAAGGAAUUGCAACAAAAUUGGUUAUAAUAUCCUAAUUUUUUGUGGAAGAGAGCAAUGCUUGAAACAUUUAUUUCUACUGUCCCCAAAGCUUAUGUCCAGAGUUUGUUUAAAAUGUUUGCCAAGAGAUCUUCAGUACUGGAUGAACAAAAGCAAAAUGGCCCGGUACAAUAUUAGAGUGGUGUAGUAGACCAAUCUGGUGAGCCAGGCCCUCCUGUUAUUUUAUCAUUGCAGUAUAAAAUUUGUUUAUACGUUCUUGCAUAAAUAUAUUUAUCUUUUUUUUUUUUUUUUAGAAUGGCUUCUAUAAAAGAUGAUUUCUUGCAUUAUGCAACAAAUCCUGAAUCAGAAUUAGAGGAUACUGAUUCUGAUUGCACUAUUGUGUACGACUAUGAAGAGUCAAGUGGUGAAGAUGAAGAGGUACCCCCACCAUUGAAAACACCUCGGUCAGACUAUAUUUGGUCUGAUAACUCAAAUUAUGAUCCGAUCAUUUUUUCAUUUGACUGAUCAAAUAGUGGACUACAGGUAGAUACAUGUAGGCUUGAAAAAGAACUUGAUUUUUUUGAAAUUUUUAUCAAUAUAAAUUUCCUUGAAAUGAUUGCUGUAGAGACAAAUAAAUAUGCAAAAUACCUUAUAGACACAAUAGAAUUUUCGAAGUUUUCUAGAAUGAAUAGAUGGGUGGACACUAAUUAUCAUGAACUAUUUGUUUUCCUAGCAAUAUGCUUCCUUAUGACAAGAAAUAAAAAAGUAUCAUUGAAAGAAUACUGGAGUACCAAUCAACUUCACUUUUCCCCAAUUUUUUCUAAACUUAUGUCAAGAGAUAGAUUCUUUUUGAUUCUUUCAGUGUUGCAUUUCAACGAUAAUAAGACCCAAAUUCCAGGUGAUAAACUCCACAAACUAAAGCCUGUAGUUGACCACAUGAAAAGUGCUUAUAAAAAUGCUUUCAAACCUUUUCAAGAUAUUUGUAUUGAUGAGAGUCUUGUUCUGUUCAAAGGAAGACUUGGAUUCAAACAAUAUAUUCCAAGCAAAAGGAAAAGGUUUGGAAUAAAGCUAUUUGUUUUAUGUGAUGUGGAAACAAAAUAUAUUUUAGAUUUUAUUGUGUAUGUUGGAAAAGGAACAGAAAUCGAAGAUUCAGAUAUGGGAGUAUCAUCGUCAGUUAUUACAACUUUGUUACAACCAUAUAUGAACAAAGGGCAUUCCUUAUGGGUGGAUAAUUGGUAUUCUAGCCCAACUCUUUUCAAUUUUCUUCAUCAACGUCAAACUAAUGCUUGUGGCACAGUCAGAAAAAAAACAGAAAAGAAAUGCCAAGAUUUGGGAAAAAAUUGAAAAUAGGGGAAACAGAAGCCAAACACACACAAAACCUACUUGCACUAAAAUAUAAAGAUAAAAGAGAAGUUUUCAUGCUGUCCACAAUGCAUAAAAAUGAAUUUGCUAAUACAAACAAAAGAGAUAAAGUCACUAAUCUGCCAAUUCAAAAACCUUCAGCUGUUAUUGACUAUAACCAGAAAAUGGGCACUGUCGAUCAGACGGAUAUGCUACUUAGCAGCAUUGGCUGUCUUAGAAAAUCUCUCAAGUGGUACAAAAAGCUCUUUUUACACUUCAUUGAUACAUCUUUACUAAAUGCAUAUUCUUUGUAUUUAGUAAAUACAGGCAAACGUCCAUCUUUUGCUGAAUUCCACAUCAAUCUCAUUGGCCAGAUUAUUGAGAAGUACCAUGAAGCUAGAGUUCAAGUUCAUAGGGGCAGACCUUCUACAUCUGAAGACAGACCCCUUAGGCUUAUUGAGAGGCACUUUCCAUCUUUAGUUCCCCCUACUGAGAAGAAAAAAAAUCCUACAAGAUAUUGCUGUGUUUGUGGAGCAAACAAAAAGAGGAAAGAAUCACGCUACAUGUGCAAAGACUGUGAUGUUGCUCUGUGUGUGGUGCCUUGUUUCAAAACUUUCCACACAAUAAAGAAUUUUUAAACACUUCUAAAACUUUUAAUUUAAAGCACAGAUCAAUACAAGUAUGUUUAUUUUACUUUUAACAUAUUUUAAAAAUAUAUUUGGUCUUUAUAUGAAUGUAUUAUCUACUACUAUAAAUAUUAUACAGUAGAACUUGGAUAAUUCGAACUUCUUUAAUUCGAAUAUUUAUCUUGGUCCCUAGAAGCCUUAAGCCUUUAUUCAAAACAUCUUUAAUUCGAAUUUUUGGAUAAUUCGAAUUUUUUUAUGGUCCCUUGGGGUUCGAAUUAUCCAAGUUCGACUGUAUAUGACGUAAUAAAAAUAUGAUUUUUAUUAUUCAUUAAUAUAAUUAAAAUUUUAUAAUCAGAACCAUAAUAUUUAUUAAUAUUGUUUUCAUAAUAUAACUAAAAUUAUAAUUUAAAUAAUCAAAGAAUUAAACACAGAGUUAAUUUUUUAAAAAUGUAAAGAAAUCCUUAACAAAAGGAAUGCAACCAAAUAGGUUUUUUUUUUGUUUAUAUAUAGAUAAUAAAAUAUUUGUCUAUGUUUUGAUACAAUAGUUUAAAUUUAAAUAUCAAUUUAAGUUUGUUUUAUUAAAUGAAAAUACUAAGGCAAAAUAAGACAUUUAAAAUAUUAAAUUAAAUAAUCUAAUCGUAUACUUUUUAUAAAAUCUAGAAUUUUCUAACUAAGUCUUUCAAAAAUGGCUCGGAAUGCAGAAAAAGCCAUGACCACACUAGCCAGGUGGAGGGCCCACCAGCUCCAGGAACAAGGCAAGGGGGUGCAGGAGCAGAGGCCCCAUCUCGCCUCCCACUGCCACAACCUACGCAAAGCUGAGAAGUUCCGCAUGCAGGUCAUCCGGGAGAUUGCCAAGAAAGUGGCCCAAAUACAGAAUGCUGGACUUGGAGAGUUCCGGAUCCGAGAUCUCAACGAUGAUAUCAACAAGUUACUCAGAGAAAAAGGGCACUGGGAAGUCCGAGUUAAAGAACUUGGUGGGCAGGACUACUCUCAAGUGGGACCAAAGAUGUUGGACCACGAGGGCAGGGAGGUCCCAGGGAACAAAGGCUACAAAUACUUUGGAGCUGCCAAAGAUCUGCCUGGAGUGAGGGAACUCUUUGAACAAGAACCUCCAGCUCCCCAGAGGAAGACCCGAGCAGAACUGAUGAAAGACAUUGAUGCAGACUACUAUGGGUACAGGGAUGACGGCAUCCUUGUGCCUCUAGACAUGGAAGAGGAGCGGAAGGCAAUAGAGAAAGCUGUGCUGGCUUGGGAGGAGAGGCAGGAUGGGCAGGCCACUGAGCUGCAGCAGGGCUCUGAACCAAUGGAAGAGAUCCAUGUGAGUGAGGUGGAGGAAGCCGGGGGCAAGCUGAGGUUCAUCGCUCACGUUCCUGUCCCCUCACAGAAGGAGAUUGAAGAAGCCAUCGUGGAGAGAAAGAAACAGGAGAUUCUUAACCGAUAUGCCAGCAAGUCCCUACAGGAGGAAACCAAGCAGCUCCUCGGGAUCUAACACCAUCUUGUA